CAUCCUGCCCUGUCUGGCGCCCUGCCUGUGCAAACUGUUGGUGGCGGGCCCGCCCGAAAGCGCAAGAGAGA
rnacentral:snoRNA from 1 species